rnacentral:rRNA from 1 species
AACAAACGCUGGCGGCGUGCCUAAUACAUGCAAGUCGAACGGGGAAAGUAGCAAUAUGAGUACUAGUGGCGCACGGGUGAGUAACGCGUGGAUAAUCUGCCUUGAAGAGGGGGAUAACUAGUCGAAAGAUUAGCUAAUACCGCAUAAGACCACAAGAACUGAGGUUCAAGGGGCCAAAGGUUUUUCGCUUCAAGAUGAGUCCGCGUAAGAUUAGCUAGUUGGUGCGGUAAUGGCUCACCAAGGCAACGAUCUUUAACUGGUCUGAGAGGAUGAUCAGUCACACUGGAACUGAGACACGGUCCAGACUCCUACGGGAGGCAGCAGUAGGGAAUAUUGCACAAUGGAGGAGUCUCUGAUGCAGCGCCGCCGCGUGUGUGAUGAAGGCCUUCGGGUCGUAAAGCUCUGUCGCAGGCUAAUAACACAAUGAAUGUACCCUGUAAGAAAGGAUCGGCUAACUUCGUG